rnacentral:tRNA from 1 species
GAGGAUUUAGCUUAAUUAAAGUGAUUGAUUUGCAUUCAAUAGAUGUAGGAUAGAUUCUUGCAAUCCUUA